GCUACACUGGAAGUAGCUGAGCCAUGAGAAAGAAGCUGAUCAUUUUGAAGACAUUUUUAAGCAUUCCGUUGCUACUAGUACUGCCCUAAGCUCUGGAAAUGACAGGCGAGACCUCUGUUCUCGUGAAGCUUAAUUCUAAUGGGAAGACAGCAGACAUUCACCAAGAGUUAGAAAUGCUGUGAAGAAACACAUCUAGAGACUUCCAGUGAACUCUUCCUCUUAACUCUGUGUGCCCUCCAAGUUGUCAGUACCCUCAAACCAAAAACCCCCAGGAAUACGCUGUAGUUAAACAAGCAACAUCAGAGGAAUAUGAAACUAAGGCUGAAACAAACUUAAGAGUACCUGGACAUGGUGGUGCCAUGUUCCAAGAGUUCCAGCUGCGUAGAAAACAGGCAGGAAGACUGUAUGAGCCCAGGAGCCCAAGGCCAGCCAAGGCACCGCAGCAAGAUCCUAUCCCGAAGAAUUGACCCAAGGGCUGCAGAGACAGCUAAGCAGUUAAUAACUCUGGCUGUUCUUCCAGAGGACCAAGUUCGAUCCCCAGCACCCACAUGGCCAAUUAUAAUUGCAAUUCAAAUUCCAGGAAAUCCAGUGCCCUCUUCUGGUGUACAGGCAUACAUGCAGCCAAAUUACCUAUACACAUGAAAUUAAAUGCAAAAAAAAAGACAAAAAUAAUGAUUUUGCUGGUAGGUUGCUAUUUGGGGGUUUUGUUUUUGGCUUUUUUGUUUGUUUGUUUGUUUUUGUUUUUUGUUUUUUGUUUUUUUUUCUUUUUUUCGGAGCUGGGGACCGAAUUGUUUUUGUUUUUAAGAUGUGGUAGAAACGGGGCUGGGGAUUUAGCUCAGUGGUAGAGCGCUUACCUAGGAAGCGCAAGGCCCUGGGUUCGGUCCCCAGCUCCGAAAAAAAAGAACAAAAAAAAAAAAAAAAAGAUGUGGUAGAAACUUUUAAUUUGGAAAGGGAAUGGUUACACGUAAAGGAAAGUAGAUUCUGUACUAACAGAUGUGCACUGCAAAGCUGGUCUAAGAGAACGAAGGGAGUUCCCUGGAUUGUCCACCUGAUGCCCAAUCAUAGUCACGGUUAAGCACACUGCUGAAGAAUCUAUAUGUCCAACGAGCUGCCCUCUCAAGAAUUCUUAUCUAGGGCAUGACAAACAGUGAGCAUUUCUGCCAGUCUCCACAACUAUGUCCACUGGAGAAGUUCAGCCAACACAGUUCAUUAAAAGCUUCAGGAUAACUCAGGCAGAGACCAGCACAGGCCGGAAGUCGACCUUUCUCUGAGCCCGGAAGUCUACCUUGCUCUGAGGGUUGAUCUGAAUUCUCAAAAGGAUGGCCAGGAUGAAGCUGCCCACACAGAGGAUGAAGCCAAGGAAGAUAGAGUUGAAGGGAAAAGGGCCCACGGGGAGGUAGUAGCUGGACCACAGUUCCCUGAUCAGCGGGAGAUACAGGAGACAGGAGUGCAGGAACCUCAGCCCUUUCGGAGGGAAGCUCAAGUACUCCUCCGGAAAUCACCAGACAAUGGACGCCUGCAUGACGAAUGCAGGACAGUUCCCACCGUGUAAUUUUUGACAUAAUUUAGAAUUCUAAGAGGUCUCAUAAUGUGGCUGAGACAAGUUACACUCGUGUGUGAACAGGUUUUCUCACUACUAACAAAAAAUAAAAAUAAUGCAAAUUCUAUCAUCAUCAGCAAGCGAUAUUCAUGUGCAGAAAUAUUACUCAAAUGAUUUUAACGAAUCCUGUAUUUAAAUGAUGUAAUGCUAAUAAAAUCUGUACAAGAUAAGAAUUAUAGCAACACUCAGGAGGGAAGUCUAACAUAGUAAUAAAAGACUUCCAAACAAAAGAAAUAUGUAUUAGGUUUGUCUCAAUGCGCUUGAUGUAAGAAAAAAAAUAGGAUGACUUUCUUUCCAGAAAAAUAUGUAGUUGGUGCACACCAUUAAUCACAGCACUUAGGAGGCAGAGACAGGCAAGUACCAGGCCAUCCUGGUCUAUCAAACAAGUUCCAGGACAGUCAGAGCUGUCAUUCAUAGAUAGAUAGAUAGAUAGAUAGAUAGAUAGAUAGAUAGAUAGAUAGAUAGACAGACAGACAGAUAGACAGAUAGAUUUUGAUAGAUGAGAAGAUAAGUGGGUAUUAUCGUUUAGUUGUAAAAAACAGAACUGAGAAAAAUUCAAGAAACUUUGGUAAGAGCACACAGCCAUGGGUGGGAGCAAAAGAAACGAAAACCAGAAAACACCAGAGGUCUCAUAAAAAGAAAAGGGCCCCGGAAUCUGCACAGCACGUGGCCCUGAGGGAAUUUGUCUUCCCAGCACGUAACCCAAAUGCAGUGUCCAGGAGCCAUCUUUAAGUCCAAGUCACAGUAUUUCCCUGUCUCUUGGAACUGUAACCAAAGUCAUAGCUGGCACGCCAAAUGUUGGUUAUAAAAGAGUGGGUAGACCGAGUCAAAAUGCUCAGAGUUCCAUGCAGCGAGAAGCUGUUUUGAAAUACAAAGGGGAUUAUUGAGAAGGCAUAAGAGGAGAACAGGCAGGUGCAAGGCUGCAAGAGGUGUUUGUAUGGGAGUUUCAGAAGAGGAGGCAGGACCCAGGGUCCCCCUACUUCCCCUUGAGCUUAGCCCCACUGGGUCCCCCUGGCCCCACAUCAUCCAUCUAGGAAGGCACUAGAGACCUAGAUCUAAGUCAGAAACUCCAGUACCAAUGGCGCCUUAGGAGUGUGCAGACAAAAUCAUCCCCCAGUAAAUCGAUGCCUUAAAACCUGUGUUCCAGCACAGCCCAUCCUGGAGCAAGGCGGCCAAGGGCGAAACUGGCUGUGCCCACAAACCACUCCCUUUGGUUGCUAGCCUAGAGACACAGUGAGGGAGGCAAAAGUAAACAGUGUGUGCUCUGUGACCUCUCCAAAGGAAACUUGCCAGGUCACAGGAACAAUAAUGUUCAGUCAGCUGUUAACUUUCA